UCUCAAAUCAAUAUCAAUUUGUGAAUCAUAUUUACUACAAAUUUAAAAUUUUAAAUUGUAAAUUUAUAUGUUAUAUUUUAUUGAAAAAAUAUCUCAUAUUUUAAAUAUUAGUAGGUAAAAUUGAGAUAAUUUAUAUAUAUUCACUUUUUAAAAAAAUAUGAUUAAAUAUUAUAUAUGCGGUAGGUAUUAUGUGAUUGGAUAUUAUAUAGGUGGCGAAUAUUACGUGUGAGAAUGAAAAUAUUUAAGAAAUACGAAUAUUAUUUGUGAUAAAAUAUGAUAUUAUAUUGGCGGCAGUUAUUAGAAGAUAUGACACACAUAUAAAAAGUAAAAUUUGAUACGUACUAUCUAAGGACAAUUUAGGUAAAAAAAGUGACAGAUACUUAAUUCGUCAGUCAUUGGAUUAGAUCGAAUGACUAAGAAUUAAUAUAUUUUAUAAUAAUUUAACAAUAAAAUAAAAAUUGUACGGCUGUGAUUUAUUUUAUUAAAGUUGAAUGAAUGAUACUAUUAGUAUGUAAUUGGAAUUAUAUUAAUAGGAAUCGGCAUUUUGGGAAAGAGAAAAAAAUUUAAAACUCGCGCUUUUAUAAGUAGUAUAGAUAAAGAGAGAGAGAGAGAGAGAGAGAGAGAGCUAGACUGGUAUACUAUCGGUAGCACGGAGUCUCCAUUGUAUCAAAUUGUUUUCAAUAAUGCAGUUCCAAAUUGACGAUCGGCUCCGUUAGAUUUGAUCUACACUAUUAAAAGUAUUUGAAAACUAGAUUUCAUAUUUUUUCGACAUCAUUUGGCUAGUGAUCAAAAGGUUUCAAAAUUGAUAAUUUUAAUGAUCAAUGCGAUGUAAAACAAUCCAAAUCUGAUACAAAUUUUAUAGAAAUUUUUUUUCACUAUUUAGAGUAAGAUCAAUAUCUCUGAUCUUAAAUUCAAAUCGUUUAUCAUCAUUUUUUAUGAGAUUUUUAUUUUCAGCCAUUCAUUUUUAGAUUACCCGUUUGAUAGGUAAAUAAUGUCGAAAAAUUAUGAAAUUUAGUUUCUCAAUACUCUCAAAAGUGUAGAUCAAGUCUAACAGAGCCAAUCGUCGAUUUAAAAGCUACAUCAUUAAAAACAACUUGAUAGCAUAGAGGUCUCCAUACUACUGAUAGUAUACCAGCAUAUAUAUGUAUGUCUUAUUCUCAUCUAAAUCUUUUAUGUCGAAA
rnacentral:lncRNA from 1 species